CGCCUGUUUAUCAAAAACAUCGCCUCUUGCACUACACAUAAGAGGUCCAGCCUGCCCAGUGACAUUGUUCAACGGCCGCGGUAUCCUAACCGUGCGAAGGUAGCGUAAUCACUUGUUCUUUAAAUAAGGACUAGUAUGAAUGGCAUCACGAGGGUUAUACUGUCUCCUCUUCCUAAUCAGUGAAACUAAUCUCCCCGUGAAGAAGCGGGGGUAAUAUUAUAAGACGAGAAGACCCUAUGGAGCUUUAGAUUAAACGACACUUGUUUGCAUUAAUUUUAAAUUCCAGAAAAACAUACCCACUUAACAAGAUAAUCGUCAAUCUUAGGUUGGGGUGACCACGGAGCACAAAACAACCUCCAUGUUGAACGACAUUUACUGUCUUAUUCACGAGCAACCACUCUAAAAAUCAAUAUACUGACAUCUAUUGACCCAAUUUUUGAUCAACGAACCAAGUUACCCUAGGGAUAACAGCGCAAUCCUCUUCAAGAGCUCCUAUCGACAAGUGGGUUUACGACCUCGAUGUUGGAUCAGGGUAUCCAAGUGGUGCAGCCGCUACUAAAGGUUCGUUUG
rnacentral:rRNA from 1 species